GGAUGUGUGCCCGAAUAUAAAGGACUACUUUGAUAGAGUAGAUUAUAGGGAUUAAACCUCCCUCGCCUCCC
rnacentral:tRNA from 1 species